AUUUUGGGAAGACGUCGCCGCGGCAUUAUGCCGAGUUUUGUGCCAUUGUAUCGGAGCUGCGACUCACUGGUCGCAAUUUCUGCACGUCAAUUAAGCCAUUGAUAUCCUGCGAGUUAUUCAGGACUUUCAGCGUGUUCAUGUGAUCGUGUAAACACACUGAGCGAAAUUCUGCGGAAUGUGGCAAAUCUGGCUCACUUACUGUUUACUUUUCACUCAAGUGCUCUUGGCUAGUACUGAAGAAUUUCUUGACAGCCAGGUGCUUGAUGGCGAAGGACAGCUUGGCAGUUCUGUUAAAACUUUGGUUAAGCGGUCACCCGCUGCUGGCACGAAC
rnacentral:lncRNA from 1 species